CUUGUAGGACAUCUGCAGGUAUUUAUUUGAAUUUUGUUGAAUUGUUCUCAUCAAUAUGAGAAGAGAGCAGGCUGAAUGGAAGAAAGUCAUUAUGACCACUGGGGCCACUAGGGGGUGUCCAGAGAAGGUAACUACUUUGCCCACGUCCUAAACUGCCUAGCCCUGUGGUCUUGGGCUAAUCACUAACCUGCUUAGAUACAAUUUUCUUCUCUAUGAAAUAGAAACAAUAUUAU